rnacentral:rRNA from 1 species
ACUCCUACGGGAGGCAGCAGUAGGGAAUCUUCCACAAUGGACGCAAGUCUGAUGGAGCAACGCCGCGUGAGUGAAGAAGGUUUUCGGAUCGUAAAGCUCUGUUGCUGGUGAAGAAAGAUAGUGAGAGUAACUGCUCAUUAUUUGCCGGUAAUCAACCAGAAAGUCACGGCUAACUACGUGCCAGCAGCCGCGGUAAUACGUAGGUGGCAAGCGUUGUCCGGAUUUAUUGGGCGUAAAGCGGGCGCAGGCGGAAAGAUAAGUCAGAUGUGGAAGCCCUCGGCUUAACCGAGGAAUAGCAUCGGAAACUGUCUUUCUUGAGUGCAGAAGAGGAGAGUGGAACUCCAUGUGUAGCGGUGGAAUGCGUAGAUAUAUGGAAGAACACCAGUGGCGAAGGCGGCUGUCUGGUCUGUAACUGACGCUGAGGCUCGAAAGCAUGGGUAGCGAACAGGAUUAGAUACCCUGGUAGUC